GGAUGACUGGAUAUGUAAAGCGCUUUGGGGUCCUUAGGGACUAGUAAAGCGCUAUAUAAAGACGGGCCAUUUACCAUUUACCAGGCCAUUUACCAAAAGUGGCAGUGAUUAAAGAGUUCCCCACACCUAGCACCAGACGUGAGUUGUGUAGGUUUCUAGGGAUGGUGGUCUACUACAGAAACUUUUGUAAAAAUUUCUCCUCUGUAGUCAAGCCACUGACUGACCUACUCAGUCUAAAGGUUCAGUUUCUAUGGUCAAGUGAGUGUCAAGAUGCUUUUGAAAGUGCAAAAGCCCUCCUCUGCCACACUCCUGUGUUAGCUGCACCUGAUUUGACGCGACCAUUCAAAUUUCAGGUUGAUGCCAGUGCUGUCGGGGCUGGGGCUGCAAGUCUUCUUGCAAGAAGACUUGCAGGGUUUGGACCACUCCGUUUGUUACUUUUCCCGCAAGUUUAAUAAAAAUCAGUUAAACUACUCCACCAUUGAAAAGGAGACCCUGACUUUGUUGUUGGCUCUUCAGCACUUUCACGUAUACCUGGGGUCUAGCAUGUUACCUCUUGUUGUGUACACUGACCACAACCCACUUGUGUCCUUUGCUCGCAUGUUUAAUCAUAAGCAGCGCCUUAUGCGCUGGGCUCUGUUGCUGCAGGAAUACAACUUAAGUAUUCACCACAAAAAGGGGUCUGAAAAUGUUUUGGCUGAUGGUCUGUUUUGGUUGUAAACAUGUUUUGUGGUGUUUGUUUUUUGUUUUUGUUACAGUUCCUAAUAUCUGCUUUUGCCCAACAUAAUUGGUAAUUUAAGGGGAGGGAUGUUACGGCCCCCGGCCUCAUGUGGCCCUGCCUGCCUCUGUCGAAAUCAAAGCGUUCCAGGACUCACGGGUGAUUGGCUGGCCAGGGACCUAUGCAGUUGUGUUUUAAUUUUUCAGAAAAUUUAGUGAGAAACUUCAGGCCAGUAUAUAUUUUCUGAAGUGACGGACUAAAUGGAAGAUGUUUAAACUGCAUGGAAUUGGCAGAUCCAGCAGCCAGAAUAAGAUCUGCUAUUACACUGAGGUGACUUCCUUUUACCUUGAUGCUUCAUCCUGUGAGGAUCUGUGUCUCGCUCCAUCUGCCCCAUCAAACUGCUCUGCUGUAGUGCUCUUGUAUGAAAGCCAGUGUGUCUUUGUGACUGUGUGCAUAUGUGCAUCUGUGCAUAAACUUGCCUUUGUUGGACAAACAGAGCGCAUUUGUUUCGUUAACAUCAUGUGUCAUGCUGCAACGCAUCAGCCCAGACAUUAUGGAAUGGAGAAAAAAAACAAAGAAGAAAGAAGCUGAGUUUAAAGCACUUUAAUUCAGUUUGUGUUAUUGUUGUCCCAUCUAGUUUUCAGACCGUUUCCAGUGUGUGUGGUGAGUAAAAUGACCUGUGCAGCGACCUUUAGGCCUGCCUGGGCUGUGAAAAACAACAAGUACUCUCAUGAUCUCAUCCCAAAAACCAGUUGGUACUGGUUCAAACCACAGGUCUACUGCCAUACUAAAGACAGAGAGAGAGAGAGAGAGAGAGAGAGAGAGAGAGAGAGAGAGAAGAAGGGUUGAGGGGAAGAGAAGUGGUGCAACUAUAGGGAGAAACAUGAGAAGAAGAACACAGAAGGAGAAAGAUGGAAAAUCAAUCCCAGGCCAGCUAAAAUGUUUGACAUCAACCAGCUGAUGACCUCAGGGAAUGUAAGCAAUAGACACAGUCCAAUCCAGAAGCCCACAGAGUCUCCUAUUAGCAUUGCCAGCAACAGUAGCAUGGGCCGGGUCAGUGGCAUGGGUUUGGAGCAGUCACCAGUGGACCGCACCAAAGGCUUCUUCCCUGAUGAAUCGGAGCCCCUGCUUCGCUGCGACUCUACCUCCAGCAAAGACUCCGCCCUGAGUAGGAAUGGCUCCUUCAUUACCAAAGGUGAGACAUGACCACAAACAGAUCUAUUCCAAUUAAGUUCCAAGGAUGGUUCAAUUCAUUUGGUGCUUUUGCGGUUCUUGGUGGUCUAGGAACGCCUUUGCAGUUCCCAGCUUCCCUUGGUUAGUGGCACUUCUCGGUGCAUUUGCUGGUGCAUCCUCCAGAAGUAUCCACUUGCACCUCAUAUUCAACUAAACUAGAAGGACAGAUGGUCCCACAUGACCUGCCGGCGCUUUGUAAUGUGACAGUGUGUAAUCACAAAAAGGAAAACCACCCACAGACCACAACAGUCUCACCAAAACAAAUCUCGGGUUGUAUUUUGCCUACUGAACCUGUCUGCUGUCAUCUUGCAUGGUCAAAAACUUCACUUGAUCAGCUCAGCUUCGACCCCUCCAUCAGUGAACAAGCAGAUCCUCACUGAAAAAAUGUAGUUUUGCCAAUAAGUAUCAAAUUUUUGUCUACUAUGCCUUCCAUCCGGUUCGAGCUGAUAUGGGAUCCCAGAAUGGAAUUAUGAGGUUUUAUGAGAAAUCUGAUUGUGGGCAGAACUUGCUGGGAUUGGCAAAAAUGGGCAAACCAUCACACUUCUAGAAUCUAUACCAUUUGUAGACACCACGAGCUAUCAGGGCCCGAGCACUGAGAGUGCGAAGGCCCUUUUGUAUCUGCUCCGUUUUUUAGGGCCUGAGCACUGACAGUGCGAAGGCCCUAUUGUAUCUGCUCUGUUUAUUAGGGCCCGAGCACCGAGAGUGUGAAGGCCCUAUUGUAUCUGCUCCGUUUCUUAUUAUUAGGGCCCUAGCACUGACAAUGCGAAGGCCUUAUUAUAUCUGCUCUGUUUAUUAUUAUUAGGGCCCGAGCACCGAGAGUGCGAAGGCCCUAUUGUAUCUGCUCUGUUUCUUCUUCUUCUUAUUAUUAUUAGGGCCCGAGCACCGAGAGUGCGAAGGCCCUAUUGUAU